UAUACGAUGAAGAGUUUGAUCCUGGCUCAGGAUGAACGCUAGCGGCAGGCUUAACACAUGCAAGUCGAGGGGUAUAGUUCUUCGGAAUUAGAGACCGGCGCACGGGUGCGUAACGCGUAUGCAAUCUACCUUUCACAGAGGGAU
rnacentral:rRNA from 1 species